rnacentral:rRNA from 1 species
GACGAGUGGCGGACGGGUGAGUAAUGCUUAGGAAUCUGCCCAGUAGCGGGGGAUAGCUCGGAGAAAUCCGAAUUAAUACCGCAUACGCCCUACGGGGGAAAGCAGGGGAUCUUCGGACCUUGCGCUAUUGGAUGUGCCUAUGUCGGAUUAGCUAGUUGGUGGGGUAAAGGCCUACCAAGGCGACGAUCUUUAGCUGGUCUGAGAGGAUGAUCAGUCACACUGGAACUGAGACACGGUCCAGACACCUACGGGUGGCAGCAGUCGAGAAUCAUUCACAAUGGGGGAAACCCUGAUGGUGCGACGCCGCGUGGGGGAUGAAUGGCUUCGGUCAGUAAACCCCUGUCAUUAGUGAACAAACCUUUUAGAGUAAUAUUUUAAAAGCUGAUAGUAGCUAAAGAGGAAGGGACGGCUAACUCUGUGCCAGCAGCCGCGGUAAUACAGAGGUCCCAAGCGUUGUUCGGAUUCACUGGGCGUAAAGAGUGCGUAGGUGGCUAGGUAAGUUUGAUGUGAAAGCUCCGAGCUCAACUCGGAAAUUGCAUUGAAAACUGCUUGGCUAGAGGGUCGGAAGGGAGACUGGAAUUUUCGGUGUAGCAGUGAAAUGCGUAGAUAUCGAGAGGAACACCAGUGGCGAAGGCGAGUCUCUGGACGAAUCCUGACACUGAGGCACGAAAGCUAGGGUAGCAAACAGGAUUAGAUACCCUGGUAGUCC